rnacentral:tRNA from 1 species
CUAAAAGUGAGCUAAGUAAAGCUAUUGGGCUCAUAACCCGAAAAUGACCUCAAAAUCCUUUUAGG